rnacentral:tRNA from 1 species
GGCAUUGUGGCUCAGUGGUAGAGUGCUUGCCUAACAUGCAUGAAGCCCUGGGUUUGAUUCAUCAGUACCA